UUAUUAAAGACACCCACCAUCACCAAACUUCCAAAGCCCGAAAGCGAUUUUCGGGCUUUU
rnacentral:sRNA from 1 species